UACGUAGGUGGCAAGCGUUGUCCGGAAUCACUGGGCGUCCAGCGCGCGCAGGCGGCGAUCUACGUCUGGGGUGAAAGCCCGGAGCUCAACUCCGGGACUGCCUUGGAUACGGGAUCGCUUGAGGAUUGGAGAGGCAAGGGGAAUUCCACGUGUAGCGGUGAAAUGCGUAGAGAUGUGGAGGAACACCUGUGGCGAAGGCGCCUUGCUGGCCAAUUUCUGACGCUGAGGCGCGAAAGCGUGGGGAGCAAACAGG
rnacentral:rRNA from 1 species